AUGAACGCUGGCGGCGUGCUUACCACAUGCAAGUCGAACGAUGACCCCCAGCUUGCUGGGGUGAUUAGUGGCGAACGGGUGAGUAACACGUGAGUAACCUGCCCCUGACUCUGGGAUACGCCCGGGAAACUGGGUCUAAUACUGGAUAUGCACCGUAAGCCGCAUGGCUUUUGGUGGAAAGAUUUUUUGGUCAGGGAUGGACUCGCGGCCUAUCAGCUUGUUGGUGAGGUAAUGGCUCACCAAGGCGACGACGGGUAGCCGGCCUGAGAGGGUGACCGGCCACACUGGGACUGAGACACGGCCCAGACGCCUACGGGAGGCAGCAGUGGGGAAUAUUGCACAAUGGGCGAAAGCCUGAUGCAGCGACGCCGCGUGAGGGAUGACGGCCUUCGGGUUGUAAACCUCUUUCAGUAGGGAAGAAGCGAAAGUGACGGUACCUGCAGAAGAAGCGCCGGCUAACUACGU
rnacentral:rRNA from 1 species